rnacentral:misc_RNA from 1 species
AAUACGGUUUAGACCGAACCAAUUUAUUGACCCGAAACCGCUCCUGCCCUUUACAGAUUAAGAAAAACCGGUCAUCCACCAGCCGCUCAUGCUUAACGACUUCUCCGACGCAUCCAACGUCGGCGGUGCCAGUGGCGCUGUCGGAGUAAAUAACCCCAAAACGAAGGUCAGUUUGGAGAAGGGUAUGCAUCAUUAUCCGGUAACGAAACUCGAAGAUUUGCAGCGGGAGAAUAGCACCGGGGAAGAGAACGAGAGGAAGAGGGAAAAGGGGUAGCUCAACGACAUCGUCUGAUUUAGGUGAACCAGUGUGGUGCUUCUCCGGGAAGGAGGAAGAAGCAGAGCAUCGAAUACCAUUCGAGUUACAUCGGCGCCGGCGCUGGAGUAAUGAUUUAGAAGAAAACUGACAUUGGGGGUUAUUGAAUUGAGGGAUUAAGAAGAAAUUACUAGGGUUUAAGUGGGGUUUGUGAGUGAAUGAUGAAGAAGGGGAAGGUAAGAUUUGAGGUAAAGCCAUGAAAACCAGAGGAAUAAAAAUGGAAUCUUUGAACAAUUAAACAAUAGCCAUUGAUGAAGAAGAAGAUCAAGAAUGGUUCUUGAUUAAGCGAAGAAGUAGUAGGGGAGAAUGAAUCAGUUUG